rnacentral:rRNA from 1 species
UACGUAGGGGGCAAGCGUUAUCCGGAUUUACUGGGUGUAAAGGGAGCGUAGACGGCAGAGCAAGUCUGAAGUGAAAGCCCGCGGCCCAACUGCGGGACUGCUUUGGAAACUGCCCGGCUAGAGUGCUGGAGAGGUAAGCGGAAUUCCUAGUGUAGCGGUGAAAUGCGUAGAUAUUAGGAGGAACACCAGUGGCGAAGGCGGCUUACUGGACAGUAACUGACGUUGAGGCUCGAAGGCGUGGGGAGCAAACAGG